CCGAUAGGCGUAGUCGAUGGAUAACCGGUUGAUAUUCCGGUACCCGCUGUGAAGCGUCAAACAUCGAACCAGGCGAUGCUAAGUCCGUGAAGCCGCCCUUGAUCUCUUCGGAGUGAGGGGGAGUGGUGGAGCCGACGGACCAGACCUGUAGUAGGUGAGUGAUGGGGUGACGCAGGAAGGUAGUCCAUCCCGGGCGGUGGUUGUCCCGGGGUAAGGGUGUAGGCCGCAAGGUAGGUAAAUCCGCCUUGCAUACGGCUGAGACCUGAUGCCGAGCCGAUUGUGGUGAAGUGGAUGAUCCUAUGCUGUCGAGAAAAGCCUCUAGCGAGUUUCAUGGCGGCCCGUACCCUAAACCAACACUGG
rnacentral:rRNA from 1 species